rnacentral:lncRNA from 1 species
GUCAAAAGGGACUCAUCAGGAGGAUGAAGGCUUAAGUGACCUGUCAUCGCCCCUUCCCGCCCCUUGCCAUCCCUGUUUCCAUCUGUUUGCCUAUCAGGUCACCUCUUCAAAAUUCUUGGCAGCUCCCCAGCCCAGCGUGAGCUUCCUCCUAUGUCAUGGAAAAUCAUUGCCAUGCCAUCAAAGCUGCCACUGGGCACAGUCAGCUGAGGGGAUUGCCCUGAGGGUGCUGGACGGUGUGUGAAGGUCAGCUGCCCAUCCACCAGUGCCUUCAUGCAGCCUGACAGGCAGUGUAACCACUGUUAAGAAUUGUCUCUGCUUGAAACCCUGCUAGUACAUGGUGGUCUAAGGGAAUAAUUCCAAAUAGAUGUGAUCUUGGUGUUGGCGGCUGUGUAACUGAGAAGGAAACUUUUGGGACCCUUCAAGUCUGAUAGAGGUCGCUUAUGUAAAACGUUUCUGUAAAGCUGCUAGGCUGACUGAAGUGAUCUUGCGUCUGCUUUCUUCCUUCAAGUGGAAGAGUAGUUUAAUUAGGAUUCACAGAGCACUAAUUCAUUCAUGAGUGUUUACCCUACAUAUGUAUAGUUAACUCAGCAUCUUUCUGCUUGCUUCUGUAUUUUCAGUUGUGGUGUCGUUAAUGCUGCUCCACAAAUCACUGCUGUGAUGCCCUUUUUAGGCUCUUUCUGUUCCAUUGGCAAAUGUUUUUACUUUGGCCUCAGUUGUAGCCCUGGACAAAUCAGAAAACAACAAGUUGACACAUUCUUUAUUUCAAGUAAAAGUGACUCCAGCCUGCUGGGUAUCUGAAUAGCUGCAGCAUUUUCAAGCAUUAUCUUUUGUGUGUAAUCCUGUGGUGUUUAUACGAAAUGCAGGUUUUGUGGUGUAAUCUGAAGCAUAAUAACUUUCACAUUCCUUAGGAAAAAAAACACAUUUUUCAGGGGAGGAUUUUUUUUGUUUUAAUGUUGGAAUAGUUACUGCCUAACGGGUCUCAUUUCUGCAGAUCUCUGACCAUAAGCCUGGAGAAAUUCUAUACCUGUGCAAAGCUGCUUGAAACAUCUUCUGGUAUUUAUUGAAUCCUUUAGAUAGUAUUGAGCUAUGAACCCUUUCGUCUUUUAUCAUCAUGGUAGAAUACAGUGGCGUUUGCUUUUAUAUCGUGGAGAGGCUUCUGUGAGCCCCAGUGCCCUGCUCUGGUGUCACCACAAUGAUGGAUGCUGGUGUGCAUUCCUUAGCCUGGAAAAGAGAAUCAGACAUUGGUUUGCCAUAUCUGAGGCAACAAAGAAUGUUUGUCCGGGGGACUGAGAUGAGCAGUGUCAUCAGCAGGAGAAUUUGCUGUCUCAAUUCAGAGGAAGGGUCUGCUUAGCCCAGUAUCCCAUCCCCAGCACUGCUCCCCCUCCAUUUGGAAACGCCCUCCAUUUGGUGGCGUUUCCCCAGAAUACCCUACCAUGCUCGUUUUAAGUCGUGGACUUCUUGAGAUUGAUGCACUAAUAGUUCAUAGCAUAAAUAAGUAUCUAUUUCCAUAGGUUAUCUUAAUCAAUUCUUGAAUCCGUGUCACAAUCUAUUAUCCACUGCAUCCCGUGGAAAGAAAUUACCCCAUUAGGGACACUUUGUGAGGAGGACCAUUUCUUUUUAACCCAUUGCUCACUGAUUCAUUUGAAGACAUUUAUUUCCCCAUAGUCAUUUCUGCUUUGAGCCUAUGAUGUCUUUGUCUACUCAGCCACUCUCCACACAGGAGCUAUUCCAUUCCCUGGUGCUUUUCUCGGAGCAUUGCCCAGCUCUCCUGCAUUGUUUUUGGGAGGAAGGGAGGUAAGUGAAUCGUGUGUACAUUGGCAUGAUGCUAUUUAUUCUCUGCUCUGUUCUUCACUUUCCAAAAAUACAUAACAUUUGAUAGGCUUUUUGGACACUUCCUGAGUGCUAUAGGCUGACAUUGCCUUAAAAUUAAUGUUUAAUUAAAGCAAAAACCUUUUAGAAUGUAAGCUCAGAGUAACCACGAUUUUCUCCUAUGUACUCUUGUUGUUGGCCUAGGCAUGUUAUAGAAGAAGGCAGGGUGCCCUGAGUCAAGUGUCAUCAGCUCAGACCCGAGGUGUCUUUCUGCUGCAGUUUCCUGGUGGUGGCUGAUGAAGGUGUGCAAACUCCAUGUGUUUUGGCAGGACUGUUUCAGGCUGGUUAAUGCUGUUCUCCUCUCAGCAUUUAAAUAGUCAUAUUGCAUUUUGUACGUGGCUUCUGCUCUUUCGUCAAAGCCGUAUCUGUGUACCUUUUAGAUUUCCCUGUCUUUCCUGCAAUGACUCUCCUGAUGAGUAUCUGAAUUUUCCAAGCAAUAAAGCUUUUGAAUGGAGUUGAUGGUGGGUUUUAGUGUGAGAUUACUUUUAAUCUCACACUUUAAUAAAGAGAAUAUGGGUACUGCCCAAGAUGCACUUAUAAAAGCAUCGUUUUUGAAAGGAUGAAGAAUUUUUUUUCCAUUUGAAAGCACUAUUACCUUGUAACUUCAUAUUUUAAUACCGCUCUGAAAAGAAAUUGUCUUACCAUGAAUGAAUAAUGAAUGGUGAAUGUCAAGGAGUGGAUAAUUCUCGCUCUUUCUUUUGAAGAAGGGGUUAAUUGCAACUCACAGUCUCUCUUCAGCUGGCAGAACUACUCAAGAUGAAACGAUUUCUUGGAAGAAUGCCCUUAGGAAGUUAGUGACCUAGAAUGAGCUUGGCAUAGAAUUGCCUUUUAGCCUUAAAUGCGGUAUUCGCUGUUGCAAUCUCUAUACACAGAUAGUUUUUGACAGGCUUUGCAAACAGCCCGAAGUCAGAGCCCGCAGGCUUUCCUUGGGCAAGUAAAAGCUGCAGAGUCGGGAACUCAAUCCAUUGCUGUUGAGACAAACAGCAAAAUUCCCAAAGCUGGGGUGGUGCUCAGUGGGACGCUUGCAAGCAAAUGCAAGCCUUCACUGUAGCAUGUGGGAAGGAGGAGAGCGUGCUCCCUGCCAGAGGUGGUUCAUGAAGUUCAAGCACUGCUGUUAACUGGAAGCAAAACUGUGUUUUUAAUGUCCCUUGACAUAAGGCACAAGGGAAAGCAGGUGACGGCACACAGAGCUGGCAUCCUGCUUUGGGCAUUGAAAUAUGUUUCUGUGGCUUUGCUUCUGCACCUGCACUGCAGGCUGCCUCGCCAUCCAAAGGGCAGAUUUUGUUGUAGAAGGAAGGGUGAGUGUGAGAGUCAGCUGGUACAUAAAUCAUUGCUGUGCACACACUGAGAGCACAUGGCGGUCUGGAGGGAUAUGCUGAUAAAGGGCCCAUCCCUUCUUGCUUAUUCCAGGAGGGAUUUUCUCCCCACUCCAGCUGUUUGUACCAGGCACCAGUCUCCGAACUUGUCCCUUGCCCAGUAAACCAACCAGUAACCUCAUGGUUUGAGCUGUGGUUAUCCCUGCUGCACUGAGCAAAUGGAG